UACGAGUGCCUCGAGCGUUAUCCGGAAUCAUUGGGCGUAAAGGGUGUGUAGGCGGUUGUAUUAGUCUCGUGUAAAAUUCUUCGGCUCAACCGGGGGCGCGCACGGGAAACGGUACGACUGAGAGGAUGGAAGGGGUCUCCGGAACUCAUGGUGUAGCGGUGAAAUGCGUUGAUAUCAUGGGGAACACCAAAAGCGAAGGCAAGAGACUGGUCCACUCCUGACGCUGAAACACGAAAGCGUGGGUCGCGAAUGGG
rnacentral:rRNA from 1 species